AACGAACGCUGGCGGCAGGCUUAACACAUGCAAGUCGAGCGCCCCGCAAGGGGAGCGGCAGACGGGUGAGUAACGCGUGGGAACGUACCCUUUGCUACGGAAUAGCUCCGGGAAACUGGAAUUAAUACCGUAUGUGCCCUACGGGGGAAAGAUUUAUCGGCAAAGGAUCGGCCCGCGUUGGAUUAGCUAGUUGGUGGGGUAAUGGCCUACCAAGGCGACGAUCCAUAGCUGGUCUGAGAGGAUGAUCAGCCACAUUGGGACUGAGACACGGCCCAAGCGCCUACGGGAGGCAGCAGUGGGGAAUAUUGGACAAUGGGCGCAAGCCUGAUCCAGCCAUGCCGCGUGAGUGAUGAAGGCCUUAGGGUUGUAAAGCUCUUUCACCGGAGAAGAUAAUGACGGUAUCCGGAGAAGAAGCCCCGGCUAACUUCGUGCCAGCAGCCGCAGUAAAAC
rnacentral:rRNA from 1 species